rnacentral:rRNA from 1 species
UACGUAGGGUGCGAGCGUUAAUCGGAAUUACUGGGCGUAAAGCGCACGCAGACGGUCAGUUAAGCAAGAUGUGAAAUCCCCGGGCUUAACAUGGGAAUUGCAUUUUGAACUGGCGGACUAGAGUGUUUCAGAGGGGGGUAGAAUUCCAUGUGUAGCAGUGAAAUGCGUAGAGAUGUGGAGGAAUACCGAUGGCGAAGGCAGCCCCCUGGGAUAAGACUGACGUUCAGGCCCGAAAGCGUGGGUAGCAAACAGG